rnacentral:lncRNA from 1 species
GCUACUCUGGUCUGCAACUGAGCCGCCUCCGCCGCUACCCCACAGUUGAUCUCCAGCUCAUCUUCUUUUGACUGAAGAAGAGUCUCUAGCUUGAUGUUUCGAGCCAAAGCACCCAUCAGUUACUCGUCAACAUUCUCCAACUCGGCCACCCUCCACUUCAACUGAGCUUCCGAUUUUUCAAGACCCUCACGGAACACCCAAAAUUGAGGGUCCUACUUGAACACAUAUGCCAGCUUUUGUUGCUUGGCACGGCAUUCUUUAUACUUCUUCGUCAUCUUGUUAAAGGUGGUCGCCCUUCUUUGCUCACGACGCCUCCUCUCUAUCUCCAAAACGAGAGUCUGAAAAGGAAAGGAAAAGAGGGAAUACA